rnacentral:rRNA from 1 species
UACGUAGGGAGCAAGCGUUGUUCGGAUUUACUGGGCGGAAAGGGUGCGUAGGCGGCGCGGUAAGUCACUUGUGAAAUCUCUGAGCUUAACUCAGAACGGCCAAGUGAUACUGCAGUGCUAGAGUGCAGAAAGGGCAAUCGGAAUUCUUGGUGUAGCGGUGAAAUGCGUAGAUAUCAAGAGGAACACCUGAGGCGAAGGCGGGUUGCUAGGCUGACACUGACGCUGAGUGCGCGAAAGCCAGGGGAGCAAACGGG